GUCAGUGGCCAUGCCACCCUGAACGAGCCCGAUCCCGUCUGACCUCGCACGCUAAGCAGGGUCGGGUCUGCUUAGUACUUGGAUGGGGAACCACCUAGGAAGACCAGGUGCUGUAGGCG
rnacentral:rRNA from 1 species